CAUCUCACAUAGGAUAGGGAGAAGGAAAAAGGGGGACACACGAAAAAAGGGGAGAUAUUUUCCUCUUUUCUUCCUAAUCAUACACUCAUCUUCCUCACCUCAUCUCUUCCAAUAAAUACUACCAAGAUGCCAGCCAAAAGGAGAUCUGAAAAACAAUCCUAAAAUCAUGUAAAACUCCAUUAAAAUAACCUAAAACCACCAAAAAAUAGUUGCAUCGUUGCUGCCGAACAACCACAAGAGGGACCAAAAAUCAGCCAUUAAAACAGCCUCUUUUCACCUAAAACAGUGGCAUUUUCUGGGCGUUCAAGAUUUCCGUCAUUGGCGAGGUUUCCUGUUUGAGUUCAUUGAGGAUUUUCGGAGAAAUUUUUCGGUCCAUAUACUGUUUUCUUUCUUUUGCUUUUGGACAAAUUCUUGCUUAAUGUACGUCAAAUUGGAGUCUUCAUCUAAUACAAGGAUGUGAAAUUCUACUAAUCUCAAGAGAAAUAAAGAGUUGAUUUGUUCAGACAUAAUCUUUGUAGAUAAAGAGAUCCCGGUGUUGGUCCCAGCGGUGUUCAGCGAUGAUUGCUCGGACCCUUCCUUCCAGUAGACUCGAGUUAGUGUUAGGCGUUCACAGACUCUGAAGUCCCCUUCCUAUCUUUGUUGUUGUUUACUUUGUGCCGGACAGUUUUGUAUUUUAUUUCAGACCUUAUAUGUAGUAUUCUAGUUGCUCAUGUACUUAUUGCACCAGUUUGUAGGAAUAGUUUUACAGUGUGUUGGUUGUACACAUAUUAUUCGUUUUUGCUAUUACGCUCUUUUAUUUUA